rnacentral:lncRNA from 1 species
UCAAAAGGAACAGAAAAAAAUCAGCUCCACGAAGUAACGAGUCCUUCAGCAUGAGAAAAUUACUAAAAAAGUGGAGUGGUAUGUUGAACAAAGUGCAAGAGUAGUGAUGCAUAAAUUCAAUGAAAGUUAGUGUUGUAAAAAUGUAAUGAAUGAUCUCCAUCUUUCACUUUCACAAUGGAUGAUAUGUACUUGCACUUUCAAGGAUUGAUAUGACGGAGGCAUAUCACUUUGUUAUCCAAACAUUGUGUCAUCCUUUGUGAACUCCGUUUGAGCUUUAGUUCUAUUUUCUUUCACACCCCUCUUUUCAAAAUCAAAAUAAGAGUCAGCAAAGUUCAAAAGAAA